rnacentral:rRNA from 1 species
UGGGGAAUUUUGGACAAUGGGGGAAACCCUGAUCCAGCCAUCCCGCGUGUGCGAUGAAGGCCUUCGGGUUGUAAAGCACUUUUGGCAGGAAAGAAACGUCAUGGGUUAAUACCCCGUGAAACUGACGGUACCUGCAGAAUAAGCACCGGCUAACUACGUGCCAGCAGCCGCGGUAAUACGUAGGGUGCAAGCGUUAAUCGGAAUUACUGGGCGUAAAGCGUGCGCAGGCGGUUCGGAAAGAAAGAUGUGAAAUCCCAGAGCUCAACUUUGGAACUGCAUUUUUAACUACCGGGCUGGAGUGUGUCAGAGGGAGGGGGAAUUCCGCGUGUAGCAGUGAAAUGCGUAGAUAUGCGGAGGAACACCGAUGGCGAAGGCGGCCUCCUGGGAUAACACUGACGCUCAUGCACGAAAGCGUGGGGAGCAAACAGG